UUAGUGGCCUAGGAUCCCAUUCCAUUUGACUCUGCCAACUCAGGGAUGAAGGGAAGUUGUGGGGAGAACCAUAAAUGGAGACCGAUUUUGCAGGUGACGUUUUGAGCUGCAUUUUCCCAAAACUGCCAGAUCCUAAGAAAGCUAUGUAAAAAACUCCUCAGAUACUAGAUCCAUUUAUACGGACCUGUGUAUACUUCUCUCAAGUAAGAUUUUGAUGCAACACAUUGGCAUUCUUCCUGUUAUUAGUGAGUUAGAGAACAACCUGAAGACAUUACUGUAGAGUAACCACAGCAACACAAAUCCUAUAAAAUGUGCUACCACUAGCAAAGUUAUUGUGCACUUAUUUUGGUUUCAUCCUUUGCCACAAGUUGCCCAUUGCCAUAAAAGGUAAAGAGUCUCUUUUUAUAAAGUUAUCUUGAUUUCAAAGUACAAAAUA